rnacentral:rRNA from 1 species
CAAUAGCGUAUAUUAAAGUUGUUGCAGUUAAAAAGCUCGUAGUUGGAUUUCUGGUAGGAGUGACCGUUCCGAACUUGAUUGUUCGUGUAUUGUGUUUUCUCCAGCCAUCCUUGUGGAGAACUUUUCUUGCAUUAAUUUGUAGGGAUUGGGACCCGCAUCGUUUACUGUGAAAAAAUUAGAGUGUUUAAAGCAGGCAAUCGCUUGAAUACAUUAGCAUGGAAUAAUAAGAUAGGACUUUGGUACUAUUUUGUUGGUUUGCAUACCAAAUUAAUGAUCAACAGGAACAGUUUGAGGAUAUUUGUAUGAACAUGUCAGAGGUGAAAUUCUUGGAUUUUGAUCAGACGAACUACUGCGAAAGCAUUUAUCAAGGAUGUUUUCAUUAA